UACGUAGGGGGCUAGCGUUGUCCGGAAUCAUUGGGCGUAAAGAGCGUGUAGGCGGUCCGGUAAGUCCGCUGUGAAAGCCGGGGGCUCAACCCUCGAAUGCCGGUGGAUACUGUCGGGCUAGAGUGCGGAAGAGGCGAGUGGAAUUCCUGGUGUAGCGGUGAAAUGCGCAGAUAUCAGGAGGAACACCGAUUGCGAAGGCAGCUCGCUGGAACGUUACUGACGCUGAGGCGCGAAAGCGUGGGGAGCAAACAGG
rnacentral:rRNA from 1 species